rnacentral:misc_RNA from 1 species
UUUCCGUAGGUGAACCUGCGGAAGGAUCAUUAUUGUAUAACCGAGGUUCGAGGCCUUUCGCUUACCCGAAAGUUCGGACCCGCCCCAAUGCCCUCACACACAUUCAUCUUACCCCUAUGUGCACCAACGCGUGUGCCCCCCUUUGCCUUGUUCGGUUGGGUGCUUACGUUUUCACGCAAACUUUGUAUUCAAUGGAUAAUGUCUUUUUUGUUUUUUCGAUCACGCAAUGCAUACAACUUUCAACAACGGAUCUCUUGGCUCUCUCAUCGAGGACUCCCG